rnacentral:rRNA from 1 species
UACGUAGGUGGCAAGCGUUGUCCGGAUUUACUGGGCGUAAAGAGCACGCAGGCGGUCGGUUUAGUCGCGUGUGAAAGCCCCCGGCUCAACUGGGAGGGUCACGCGAUACUGUUCGACUCGAAGGCAGGAGAGGGAAGUGGAAUUCCCGGUGUAGUGGUGAAAUGCGCAGAUAUCUGGGGGAAGGCCGGCGGCGAAGGCGCCAUUCUGGGAAAUUCCUGUCACUGAGGCACGAAAGCGUGGGGAGCAAACAGG